rnacentral:rRNA from 1 species
AAAUGAAUAGACGGGGACCCGCACAAGCAGCGGAGCAUGUGGUUUAAUUCGAAGCAACGCGAAGAACCUUACCAGGACUUGACAUCCCAUUGACCGGUAUAGAGAUAUACCUUCCCUUCGGGGCAAUGGAGACAGGUGGUGCAUGGUUGUCGUCAGCUCGUGUCGUGAGAUGUUGGGUUAAGUCCCGUAACGAGCGCAACCCCUAUUUUUAGUUGCCAUCAAGUAAUGUUGGGCACUCUAGAGAGACUGCCGGGGAUAACUCGGAGGAAGGUGGGGACGACGUCAAAUCAUCAUGCCCCUUAUGUCCUGGGCUACACACGUGCUACAAUGGCCGGAAACAAAGGGCAGCGAAACCGCAAGGUGGAGCCAAUCCCAUAAACCCGGUCCCAGUUCGGAUUGUGGGCUGCAACUCGCCCACAUGAAGUCGGAGUUGCUAGUAAUCGCGAAUCAGAACGUCGCGGUGAAUGCGUUCCCGGGUCUUGUACACACCGCCCGU